rnacentral:rRNA from 1 species
GAUGAACGCUAGCGGCAGGCUUAAUACAUGCAAGUCGAGGGAAAAGUAGUUUUCGGACUAUGAAGACCGGCGCACGGGUGCGUAACGCGUACACAGCAUGCCUAAUACUGGAGUAUAGUCUCGGGAAACUGGGGGUAAUCCUCCAUAAUAUUAUAGAAUCGCAUGAUUUUAUUAAUUAAAGCUCAGGCGGUAUUAGAUUGGUGUGCGUAUGAUUAGCUUGUUGGUAGGGUAACGGCCUACCAAGGCAACGAUCAUUAGCUGGCGUGAGAGCGCGACCAGCCACACUGGAACUGAGACACGGUCCAGACUCCUACGGGAGGCAGCAGUAGGGAAUAUUGGACAAUGGGCGGAAAGACCU